UACGAAGGGUGCAAGCGUUGCUCGGAAUUAUUGGGCGUAAAGCGCACGUAGGCGGCUUAGCAAGUCGGAUGUGAAAUCCCUCGGCUCAACCAAGGAAGUGCAUCCGAAACUGCUGAGCUUGAGUACUUAAGAGGAUCGCGGAAUUCCCGGUGUAGAGGUGAAAUUCGUAGAUAUCUGGAGGAACACCGGUGGCGAAGGCGGCGUUCUGGACUGCAACUGACACUGAAAAACGAAAGCCAGGGGAGCAAACGGG
rnacentral:rRNA from 1 species